CACUUAGCAUAAUGUUUUCAACUUUUAUCCAUGUUAUAGCCUGUAUCAGAAUUUUGUUUCUUUUUAUGGCAUAAUAAUAUUCCAUUGCAUGGAUAUAACACAUUUUCUUUAUUCAUUUAUGUGCCAAUGAACACUUGGAUUUUUUCUACUUCUUGGCAUUGUAAAUAGUAGUGCUGCUGUGAAUGAGACAGGGUAGUAAGAAGCUAUGAAAAUUCCUGGGCAAGUGGAAUAGGGAAACUGAGAUAAGAAAAUUUAACAAGGCCAAACAAUUUGAGCAACUUACAAUUAGCUGAUGAAUCACAAGACCUUAUCCCCAGUAACCAAGGACACUUGAGAAAAUAGUUGAUACCUCUCCUCCCUAACCAGAGAUAAAUCGCUUAAAUCUCCCUAGUCUGGGAAAAUAGAGAACAGAGACCCAGUUAAUGUCAUUUGUGUCAGCUAAACCCAAGGGCAGAUGAAGUCAGGGGAAGAAAUAUCAAAAAACUCAUUAAUAGCCCAACAUAUCGAAGAUAGAAAACAGUAUAGCAGAUCAAAGAAUAUUCCCAAACUCAUCUAUGCUCUCAUUUUGACGCAUCAGCAUAUUAAAAAUGCACCUAGAAAGAUGAUGAAUUUUCUGCUGAAACUCUCCCCUAAGAUUCUUACCUGCAGAAAAAAGAUAAAAAGCUCUCAGGACAAAGACUGAGUAUAGGCUCACUCUAGAGCACACCCAUGCCCCAUCCCAGGCAUGAACUUUUUACCUCUCUCCUAAACUCUAAGGGGCUCUGUAAGACUUGCAGCCAGGGGAGCAAUGGGCCCCCACAUCUCUACCCAGCCUUAUCCCUUGGAGACCUUGUCUCCAAGGUCUCCUUUUACUCUGACUUCCCGGUAAGCUAAAAACAGCCCUGCCUAGGCUCUACUGUUGCUUCUUCUAUGCUAAGCCCUUCCUUGUUUCACUGUCCCCAGCUUUAAUAAAUGUAUCUGCACAGUCACUUGGACUCUUGCUGUGAAAUAUUUCCUACACGAAGUCACAAACCCACACACUACCAGCUGGCCCUAGGCAGACAUGCUCAGGGCCAGGCUCCUGUCCCGUAACAUGAACACAGGGCUACUACAAAGUCCUGGGGAAGGGAAAGUUCCCAAAGCAGCCUGUCAUUGUGAAGGCCAGAUUCUUCAGCAGAAGAGCUGAGGAGGAUUAAGAGUGUUGGUAGGGCUUGUGUGCUGGUAGCUUGAAGCCACAUGAAGGGGAAUUCACUAAAUUCUCACAAGUGUUUUUAUCUUCUGGUCUGAGUAUAGGUUCUUUGGCAAAUUUACCUGUGUGUCAGAAACCUGCAGGUUCUAGGAGGUAAGGAUAUGAGGACUCGGGCUCCUCUGCCAAUUCCCCUGAGAAAGAAAGUGUGCAAGAGUUAGCACCAACACUUAGAGGCCUUGGUCUGUUACCUGACUUGAACUUCUCAUUUAUAAAGUGAAAAUGAUAGCUGUUGGUGGUGUGUGUGUAUAGAUAAAUA